rnacentral:rRNA from 1 species
AUGAACGCUGGCGGCGUGCUUCACCCAUGCCAGUAGCACGAUGAAGCCCAGCUUGCUGGGUGGAUUAGUGGCGAACGGGUGAGUAACACGUGAGUAACCUGCCCUUAACUCUGGGAUAAGCCUGGGAAACUGGGUCUAAUACCGGAUAGGAGCGUCCACCGCAUGGUGGGUGUUGGAAAGAUUUAUCGGUUUUGGAUGGACUCGCGGCCUAUCAGCUUGUUGGUGAGGUAAUGGCUCACCAAGGCGACGACGGGUAGCCGGCCUGAGAGGGUGACCGGCCACACUGGGACUGAGACACGGCCCAGACUCCUACGGGAGGCAGCAGUGGGGAAUAUUGCACAAUGGGCGCAAGCCUGAUGCAGCGACGCCGCGUGAGGGAUGACGGCCUUCGGGUUGUAAACCUCUUUCAGUAGGGAAGAAGCGAAAGUGACGGUACCUGCAGAAGAAGCACCGGCUAACUACGUG